rnacentral:rRNA from 1 species
GAUGAACGCUGGCGGCGUGCCUAAUACAUGCAAGUCGAGCGAAGCGGGGACGGGUGAGUAACAUGUGGAUAACCUCCUAUAAGACUGGGAUAACUUCGGGAAACCGGAGCUAAACCGGAAACUUAUCGAAGGAUCCGCGCUGGAUUAGCUAGUUGGUAAGGUAACGGCGUACCAAGGCAACGAUGCAUAGCCGACCUGAGAGGGUGAUCGGCCACACUGGAACUGAGACACGGUCCAGACUCCUACGGGAGGCAGCAGUAGGGAAUCUUCCACAAUGGGCGAAAGCCUGACGGAGCAACGCCGCGUGUGUGAUGAAGGUCUUCGGGUCGUAAAACUCUGUUAGUAGGGAAGCGGUACCUAAUCAGAAAGCCACGGCUAACUACGUGCCAGCCGCCGCGGUAAUAC